GGCCAGAUAGCUCAAUGGUAGAGCAGUUGACUUUUAAUCAAUUGGUUCCGGGUUCGAGCCCCGGUCUGGCCA
rnacentral:tRNA from 1 species